rnacentral:rRNA from 1 species
UGGGGAAUUUUGGACAAUGGGCGAAAGCCUGAUCCAGCAAUGCCGCGUGUGUGAAGAAGGCCUUCGGGUUGUAAAGCACUUUUGUCCGGAAAGAAAUCCUUGGCUCUAAUACAGUCGGGGGAUGACGGUACCGGAAGAAUAAGCACCGGCUAACUACGUGCCAGCAGCCGCGGUAAUACGUAGGGUGCAAGCGUUAAUCGGAAUUACUGGGCGUAAAGCGUGCGCAGGCGGUUUGCUAAGACCGAUGUGAAAUCCCCGGGCUCAACCUGGGAACUGCAUUGGUGACUGGCAGGCUAGAGUAUGGCAGAGGGGGGUAGAAUUCCACGUGUAGCAGUGAAAUGCGUAGAGAUGUGGAGGAAUACCGAUGGCGAAGGCAGCCCCCUGGGCCAAUACUGACGCUCAUGCACGAAAGCGUGGGGGAGCAAACAGGAUUAGAUACCCCUGGUAGUCCACGCCCUAAACGAUGUCAACUAGUUGUUGGGGAUUCAUUUCCUUAGUAACGUAGCUAACGCGUGAAGUUGACCGCCUGGGGAGUACGGUCGCAAGAUUAAAACUUAAAGGAAUUGACGGGGUCAUAGCUGUUUCCU